rnacentral:rRNA from 1 species
UACGUAGGGGGCUAGCGUUGUCCGGAAUCAUUGGGCGUAAAGCGCGUGUAGGCGGCCCGGUAAGUCCGCUGUGAAAGUCGGGGGCUCAACCCUCGGAUGCCGGUGGAUACUGUCGGGCUAGAGUGCGGAAGAGGCGAGUGGAAUUCCUGGUGUAGCGGUGAAAUGACGCAGAUAUCUGGAGGAACACCGGUGGCGAAGGCGGCAUCCUGGACCAACACUGACACUGAGGAGCGAAAGCCAGGGGAGCAAACGGG